UAUCUACAGGCUUAACACAUGCAAGUCGAGGGGCAGCAUUUCAGUUUGCUUGCAAACUGGAGAUGGCGACCGGCGCACGGGUGAGUAACACGUAUCCAACCUGCCGAUAACUCGGGGAUAGCCUUUCGAAAGAAAGAUUAAUACCCGAUGGUAUAAUCAGACCGCAUGGUCUUGUUAUUAAAGAAUUUCGGUUAUCGAUGGGGAUGCGUUCCAUUAGGCAGUUGGUGAGGUAACGGCUCACCAAACCUUCGAUGGAUAGGGGUUCUGAGAGGAAGGUCCCCCACAUUGGAACUGAGACACGGUCCAAACUCCUACGGGAGGCAGCAGUGAGGAAUAUUGGUCAAUGGGCGCAGGCCUGAACCAGCCAAGUAGCGUGAAGGAUGACUGCCCUAUGGGUUGUAAACUUCUUUUAUAUGGGAAUAAAGUUUUCCACGUGUGGAAUUUUGUAUGUACCAUAUGAAUAAGGAUCGGCUAACUCCGUGCCAGCAGCCGCGGUAAUACGGAGGAUCCGAGCGUUAUCCGGAUUUAUUGGGUUUAAAGGGAGCGUAGGUGGACAGUUAAGUCAGUUGUGAAAGUUUGCGGCUCAACCGUAAAAUUGCAGUUGAUACUGGCUGUCUUGAGUACAGUAGAGGUGGGCGGAAUUCGUGGUGUAGCGGUGAAAUGCUUAGAUAUCACGAAGAACUCCGAUUGCGAAGGCAGCUCACUGGACUGCAACUGACACUGAUGCUCGAAAGUGUGGGUAUCAAACAGGAUUAGAUACCCUGGUAGUCCACACAGUAAACGAUGAAUACUCGCUGUUUGCGAUAUACAGUAAGCGGCCAAGCGAAAGCAUUAAGUAUUCCACCUGGGGAGUACGCCGGCAACGGUGAAACUCAAAGGAAUUGACGGGGGCCCGCACAAGCGGAGGAACAUGUGGUUUAAUUCGAUGAUACGCGAGGAACCUUACCCGGGCUUAAAUUGCAUUUGAAUAUAUUGGAAACAGUAUAGCCGUAAGGCAAAUGUGAAGGUGCUGCAUGGUUGUCGUCAGCUCGUGCCGUGAGGUGUCGGCUUAAGUGCCAUAACGAGCGCAACCCUUAUCUUUAGUUACUAACAGGUCAUGCUGAGGACUCUAGAGAGACUGCCGUCGUAAGAUGUGAGGAAGGUGGGGAUGACGUCAAAUCAGCACGGCCCUUACGUCCGGGGCUACACACGUGUUACAAUGGGGGGUACAGAAGGCAGCUACCUGGUGACAGGAUGCUAAUCCCAAAAGCCUCUCUCAGUUCGGAUCGAAGUCUGCAACCCGACUUCGUGAAGCUGGAUUCGCUAGUAAUCGCGCAUCAGCCAUGGCGCGGUGAAUACGUUCCCGGGCCUUGUACACACCGCCCGUCAAGCCAUGAAAGCCGGGGGUACCUGAAGUACGUAACCGCAAGGAGCGUCCUAGGGUAAAACUGGUAAUUGG
rnacentral:rRNA from 1 species